UGCUAUCGGAUUGAUACUAAGCCCUGCGAGUCAUUGUAGUAAUACAAGGCAGACGGCUCAGUAACGCGUAGUCAACCUAACCUACGGACGGGAAUAACCUCGGGAAACUGAGUAUAAUGCCCGAUAGAACAUUAUACCUGGAAUGGUUUAUGUUCCAAAUGAUUUAUCGCCGUAGGAUGGGACUGCGGCCUAUCAGUUUGUUGGUGAGGUAAUGGCCCACCAAGACUAUUACAGGUACGGGCUCUGAGAGGAGUAGCCCGGAGAUGGGUACUGAGACACGGACCCAGGCCCUAUGGGGCGCAGCAGGCGAGAAAACUUUGCAAUGUGCGAAAGCACGACAAGGUUAAUCCGAGUGGUUUCUGCUAAAGGAACCUUUUGUCGGUCCUAGAAACACCGAUGAAUAAGGGGUGGGCAAGUUCUGGUGUCAGCCGCCGCGGUAAAACCAGCACCUCAAGUGGUCAGGAUGAUUAUUGGGCCUAAAGCAUCCGUAGCCGGCUCUAUUAGUUUUCGGUUAAAUCUGUACGCUCAACCGUACAGGCUGCCGGGAAUACUGUAGAGCUAGGGAGUGGGAGAGGUAGGACGGUACUCGGUAGGAAGGGGUAAAAUCCUUGGAUCU
rnacentral:rRNA from 1 species